rnacentral:rRNA from 1 species
CCAAUAGCGUAUAUUAAAGUUGUUGCAGUUAAAAAGCUCGUAGUUGAAUUUCGAGAUCGGUUUAUUGGUCGUGCUAUUGUACGUACUGGUAUUACCGGUUUCUCCUUUCUGACGAACCUUAAUGCCAUUAAUUUGGUGUUUUGGGAAAUCAGGACUGUUACUUUGAAAAAAUUAGAGUGUUUAAAGCAGGCUCACGCUUGAAUACAUUAGCAUGGAAUAACGGAAUAGGACGUUUGAUUCUAUUUUGUUGGUUUCUAGGAUCGACGUAAUGAUUAAUAGGGAUAGUUGGGGGCAUUAGUAUUCAAUUGUCAGAGGUGAAAUUCUUGGAUUUAUUGAAGACUAACUACUGCGAAAGCAUUUGCCAAGGAUGUUUUCAUUAAUCAAGAACGAAAGUUAGGGGAUCGAAGACGAUCAGAUACCGUCGUAGUCUUAACCAUAAACUAUGCCGACUAGGGAUCGGAUGAUGUUAAUUUUUUAAUGACUCAUUCGGCGCCUUAUG